rnacentral:rRNA from 1 species
GCAAGUCGAGGGGUAACAGGAGUGCUUGCACUCGCUGACGACCGGCGCACGGGUGCGUAACGCGUAUAGAAUCUACCUUUUACAGGGGGAUAGCCUUUAGAAAUGAAGAUUAAUAUCCCAUAGCAUUGCGAAAUGGCAUCAUUUUGUAAUUAAAGAUUUAUCGGUAAAAGAUGACUAUGCGUCCUAUUAGCUAGAUGGUAAGGUAACGGCUUACCAAGGCCACGAUGUCUAGGGGUUCUGAGAGGAUGAUC